GUCAUCUAGUGAGAUUAAGCAAUCAGUUUUAGCUACUUUCAGUUGAAAGCAGUUGGCAACACUGAUUGGGGCAGUUCAGACUUUGCUUGGGGACACACUUCUCCCCUGCUCCAGACUGAACUUUGUGGUUGCUUUUCAUGCAGAGACAAUAGUUGUGUAUUAGCAAUGGCUAAUUGUGUUUCUGCAUGAACUAUUAAUGGAUAUUGUUCCAGGUUGUGAUUAAGCAAAAGAAGCCUCAGAUGAAGGAACAAUCAGGUAAAAUGUUGUCUCACUUCUCUGGCUGUUAUUGGUCAACUCCUUUUCACAUUCUCUGUCUUUUUUUUUCUGCAGGGCAGGCACAUUAAGUGGAACAGAAUAAAAUGUUGAUUUUGUGCCUAGAAAUCAUCUCUCCUCUUUCUUCCCCCAAGUUUUAUGACAUUGUUCAAUGUUCUGCUUUGAAAUUGGUCUCAAAAGCAGUUUUUGAGAGAGGUCAUGGUGUAGUAUGUGUUCUUUGUAUCUAGCAUGCAGGGACUGAUAACCAGGGUAAUAAUUCCAGACGACGCCUUUUCCCCCUGAUCCAGAAAAGGAAACUAGGGGUGAGGAGAAGGGUGUCGACCCAGGCCCCAGAAUUCACUCCAGUGUUGGCCCAGUCCCAGAGUAUUGCCCAUGGAGGGCUCCCAAUCCCCAGUCAAGCCCAGGAAGGGCUCCCAAUCCCGAUUAAGCCCACGGAGGACUCCUGUUCCAGAGUACAGCCCACAGAGGGCUCCUGAUCCAGAGUUAAGCCCAAGGAGGGCUCCCGAUGCCCAGUUCAGCCCAGGAAGGGCUCCUGUUCCCGAAUAUAGCCCACGGAGGGCACGUAAAACCUAGGGAGGGCUCCAGACCCUAAAUAUAGCCCUGUAAAGUGGCAGAGGCGGGGGCAUGGACAGCGGCCUCAGAGGCUGCUAUGCCAUGGCCUCCCGAGUCCCCAGAUCUGCCAUGGCCUCCCGAGUCCCCAGAUCCGCCAUGGCCUCUCGAGUCUUCAGAUCCGCCAUGGCCUCCAGAGUCUCUAGAACCGGCAUGGCUUCCGAGUCCACAGAUCCACCAUGGCCUCCCAAGUCCCCUGAUCCGCCAUGACUCCCCCCACGGGUUCUACCACUGUCCCAUGUCUGUCCUGAGGGACCUCCAGAGUGCCCACCCCUCCUCCCCGUUGGAUGUUAUGUGGCAUGAGGUCACGCCUUCUGGAGGGGUCGUUAUGUCAGAGUCUGUCCCGUGUUUUGUUUAUAUCUACUCCUUGUGCUACGUGUGAUUCCCUGACAUCUGAAUAAAUUCCUUGUUGAUGUACUCCUGGUCUCCUCAUUCCUUGCUCUGUGCUCCUUCACAGUAGCAAAUUGUGACAACCAGUAGCAUCCAGAUACAGUGUGUAGCACUUUUUUGACUCUGUGAAAGAGACAGCGCCCUGAGUUCAAUUUAAAUAUAUUCUUUACCCUUAAAUGGUAUUCACCUCAGGUUUCCUAUCUUUUAUUAAAAUUCAGCAUCACAUUAGUUCAGGCAGGCCACGUUAGUCAAGAUUGCUUCAGCCGACAGUCAGCUGUUCCUGAC
ensembl:lncRNA